UAGGGGGCAAGCGUUAUCCGGUUUUACUGGGUGUCAAGGGAGCGUAGGCGGCGGCGCAAGUCAGAAGUGAAAGCCCGGGGCUCAACUCCGGGACUGCUUUUGAAACUGUGCUGCUAGAUUGCAGGAGAGGCAAGUGGAAUUCCUAGUGUAGCGGUGAAAUGCGUAGAUAUUAGGAGGAACACCAGUGGCGAAGGCGGCUUGCUGGACUGUAAAUGGCGCUGAGGCUCGAAAGCGUGGGGAGCAAA
rnacentral:rRNA from 1 species